GAUGAACGCUGGCGGCGUGCCUAAUACAUGCAAGUCGAGCGAACAGAUAAGGAGCUUGCUCCUUUGACGUUAGCGGCGGACGGGUGAGUAACACGUGGGUAACCUACCUAUAAGACUGGAAUAACUCCGGGAAACCGGGGCUAAUGCCGGAUAACAUUUAGAACCGCAUGGUUCUAAAGUGAAAGAUGGUUUUGCUAUCACUUAUAGAUGGACCCGCGCCGUAUUAGCUAGUUGGUAAGGUAACGGCUUACCAAGGCAACGAUACGUAGCCGACCUGAGAGGGUGAUCGGCCACACUGGAACUGAGACACGGUCCAGACUCCUACGGGAGGAAGCAGUAGGGAAUCUUCCGCAAUGGGCGAAAGCCGGACGGAGCAACGACGCGUGAGUGAUGAAGGUCUUCGGAUCGUAAAACUCUGUUAUUAGGGAAGAACAAAUGUGUAAGUAACUGUGCACGUCUUGACGGUACCUAAUCAGAAAGCCACGGCUAACUACGUG
rnacentral:rRNA from 1 species